GGAAGUAAAAGUCGUAAUAAGGUUUCCGUAGGUGAACCUGCGGAAGGAUCAAUAGGAAGAGAGAUGUGAGCGCGGGAGCGCGAACAUAUGGGUGCGCUGUGCCAGCCAGCCACGCGGGAGGCGAGUGCAGAGUGACACACGGGUGCGAACGGAGAGAAGAUUGUGAAAGGAGAGAAGGAAGGAAGAGAGAGUGAGUACCCUCAACAACGGAUCUCUAGGCUCUU
rnacentral:misc_RNA from 1 species